rfam:Brevibacterium casei S18 Contig07, whole genome shotgun sequence.
UUCGGUCCUCGGUAGUGGCCUCCGGAGGGAACCUUCCGUGGGCCCCGAUCGAUGACCGGC